rnacentral:rRNA from 1 species
UACGUAGGGUGCGAGCGUUGUCCGGAUUUAUUGGGCGUAAAGAGCUCGUAGGCGGCUUGGCAAGUCGGGUGUGAAACCUCCAGGCUCAACCUGGAGACGCCACUCGAUACUGCCAUGGCUAGAGUCCGGUAGGGGACCACGGAAUUCCUGGUGUAGCGGUGAAAUGCGCAGAUAUCAGGAGGAACACCGGUGGCGAAGGCGGGUCUCUGGGCAGUAACUGACGCUGAGGAGCGAAAGCGUGGGGAGCGAACAGG